UCUAUUUCUCACUUCCACUGUAUAAUCAUAAGGGAUUUGAUUUAGGUCAUACCCGAAUGGUCUAGUGGUUUUCCCUACUUUCUUCAAUUUAAGUCUGAAUUUGGCAAUAUAUACCUUGGCUUAGCACAAAUAUGACUAAAUUACAGUCAUAAAAAGAUUGAGAAUUUAUAAAUAGAAAUGCAUGUCAAUAUAGAAUUUUAAAGCAUCCCAUAUUUGCACUCAUCUGUAUCUGCAUAUUUGAACCUAUUCAAUGAAUGAACAAAUGGAAACUUACCUCCCAAUAACCUUGAGCAUUUCACUUCACACCUCUGAGCUGCUUCUUGUCUACAAAAAAAAAGGAAUUGAAUCUGAAAUAUUUCAAGUGUUUUUCUAGUGUAAAUGUGUAAAUUUGUAAAUUUGGUAAUGUAUCAACUCCCAGAGAGAAUCCAGAAAUGCUUAAAAAUCAAGUGUGAUUAAAAUAGGAAAUGUUUUCCAUAAUCUUCUGUGGUUUGCAGCUCAUGUCCUCUCUGCAAAUCAGGAUGCUUGAGCCCCAAUUUUCAUUAACCACCCACCUCUAUGCAGACAAUUUCCAGAUCUUCCUCUUCUGCCCUGACCUUUAUAUUCUCCCCAGUCACAGAUUUCAUCCUGUUUAUGAAACAUCUUUACUUAGAUGUUCUGCCAUCACCUAAAUCUAAACAUGAAAAAAAAAAGAAAGAAAGAAAUUCAUGGUGUCCCUUUAGCCUAUCUAUUCUGCUUUUCCUGUUUUUCAUUUUCAGGCAGAGACCCUGGGUUUCCCCGGCACAGUCCCAGUCAUUCACAUCUGGAGGCUAGCCUCAAGUUCUUCUGCUUCUUACUCAAUGUUUUUUCAUUCCUGUUUUUUGCAUUUUCACAGUCUCAUCCUUGUCCAUGCCUCGUACUUCCAGAUUAUUUUAGGGGAUUCCAAGCGAACCUACCUGUCUGUAUUCUUUUCGUAUUUUCAUGGACUCUAUGAAAGUUGUAGAAUUCUUUCAUUCAAAUGCCUUUUGAGCAGCAAGACAAACUUCAUUCCUGACUCUAAUAAUUUAGCAGCUGGUAUGUGGCUUUAGGGUGGUACUUAUUUUUAUAUAUAAAUUCCAAGCAUAAAUGUUUACUUAUGUAAGUUCUAUCUUUCAUACUAAAUUAGGAGUUUGUUUAAGAUUAGAGCUGAGUCCUUCCCUCUCUUCUUCCUUUUUUCCCUAUAGAUUUUAUCGAAUAGCUACUUGUGUAAGACAUUCUACCAAGCACUUUGGCAGAUACAAAUAUGGAUGGAACAUGACUUUUAUCCUUAGAAAGAGAACUCCCACUUCAUAAAGUAAAGGAAACUAAAAUUUAUUGAGUAUAUUUAUGUUGCUGGGUUUAGGUCAAGGAGUCUUCUUGAAAACUUUCUUCCAGCUUUAUUGAUAUAUAUUUGAUGUGUAACAUGGUGUAAGUUUAAGAUGUAUAACAUAAUGGUUUGAUAUAUUGCAAAAUGACUAUCUCAGUAAGGUUAGUUAACAUAUCCAUCACCUCACAUAGUUUUGUGUGUGUGUGUGGUGAGAAUUUUUAAGAUCUACUCUUGUAACAACUUUCAAAUACAUAGUAUAUGGCAUUAUUAACUAUACUCUUCUUAAAACUUUGUACAGUUAAAUUAUUAUUCCUACUUUAUAGAUGAAGACAAGAUUAGAAGAGGUUAAAUCACCUCUAAGUUUGUUGCAGCUUCCCCGGUGGCUCAUAGGUAAAAAUUUGCCUGCCAAGGCAGGAGACUUGGGCUAGAUUCCUGGAUCUGGAAGAUCCCCUGGAGAAGGAAAUGGGAAACCAUUCCAGUAUUCUUGCCUGGAAAAUCCCAUGGACAGAAGAGCCUGGUGGGCUACAGUCCAUGGGGUCACAAAGAGUUGGACACAACUUAGCAACCAAACAACAAAAAAGGUUUAUUGACUGUGAAACCCCAUUUCUUCCACUGGCCUGUACUGGAAUCUAUAUUUAAUAGUUCUUAAAUUAAUGGCAUUAAUUCUAGUAUUAUAACAGCCUAACUGUUUUCCAAAUGGUUGCUUGCAAGUUUAAGUAAUUAAAAUGCAUCUAGACUUUCGGUUUCUUUUCUCAUAAAUAAGUGGUGCUGUGGUUACUGACAUAAACAAGUUUAUUAUUUAGAUCAUAAACACUAUUGUAAACAGUAUUCCAUGGAACACAGAAGACCUAUGUAUCUGAGAAACUAUACAAUAAUAUGGUAUUAUAUUUAGAUCUCACAAAAUUAUAUUUAAUUUUUAAAAUUCAUUUAAAAAUGUACAUUUGUUACUUAAUUAUGUAUCAUAUGCUACUUUUUAAGAAAAAGAUGUAGCAUAUAGCUAUUCUCUCAGAUGAAUUAUUUUGUUAAUCCUGUCCUUCUAUAAACCUUGGUAGGGCUUUUCUUAAGAUGCCUAUUAUUAAACCAAAUAAGGUAUUUUUUUCCCUCCAAGACCACACACCACAUAAAAUAGAUUUGUAUCUGGAGUGAUUUUGUCAACAGUUGUCAAAAGAACAUCAGAUAAUUUCUGUGAUAGCCAUGGCUCAAAAUCUCUAUCAGGUUGAGAGGUAAAUAGUAUAGAUAAACAUGUGUUUUUUUCCUGCCUGCCAAUUCACUGUCUUUCAAGAUUACUUUAAUAAAUAAUUACAGUGUAUGAUAAAAGUUCUUCGGUUCCUUUGUUUACAGUAAAACCACUGCCUCUCUACUGUAAACCUAUUUUGUGAGAACAUGAUAUUUAAAAAUUUUGCAUAGAAAUUAUCAAAUUAUUUCUGAUAAGUAUUUAAAUGUUUGUAUAAAGCUAAACAAUCUUUAUCAGGAAAAACCUCUGUAAUUAUUUAAAAUGAGAUUAAGACAAACUCCCUCCAAAGAUGAAUAAAGGUAGAGAUAAUAAAGAUUAAGAUAGUGACAAAGAAGAAAUGAAUAAGGAGGAAGGUGGAGGGAAAGGAAGGGAAAGGGAAAAUAAUAAUGAAGCUAAAAUAUGAGUUUCCACAUGGAUCAUUAUUGACAGAAGUUUGUGUGAUUCCUUGUCUGUCCCUGCAUUGUGAAACACACAGGAGUUUCCUUCUUUCCUAGGCUUAGAUAGCAUUAUGGAUGGUUAAGAUUUUCUGUACCUACAAGUUCUUAAGAGUAACCGAGUUAGGUAAGGGUUGCAGACUAAACUCCAUACAGUAGUUACCAGCACAGGAUUUUCCUGACACCAGAGAGAAAUAAUCAUCUAGUUCCGGCAGGUCAAAGCAGGCUGGAGAGAAAUGCCCUCCAACAAUCCCCCCCCAUAGAGUCUGAUGUCUGUCCUAGAUAAAAGGAUACCUGCCUGUCCUCUUAGUGUCUGCUCUAGUCCAUCUGCCAUCAUCUGCUAUGCUUGGUGAUUUAUCACUUCCAUAGCUUGUCAAUUAAAAUUGCUUACAAAGACAAAAUCUGCAAUACUGUCUCUAGCAUGUUUAAUAGAGUUUGGUUAAGUAAACAUCCUCAACCAAAGCAGCAAGAGAUCUUAAAAUAAACAGAGCUACUGUGCCAAGUUCACAAUUACUUACAUAUUUAGUGCUCUGCCCAUCUUCUAAGCACAGUCAUUAAAACCAGAUUUGUGUACUUAAUGUAAUUGUCUUGAAACCAUAGCUGUUUAAAUACUAUAGGCCAUUUACAUACUUGAACCUUUUUUAUUCUCUUUACUCCUUCAGUUUUAAAAUAAAAACUGGAAUUUGUUUCACAGCGCUUAUUUCAAAGUAUAUGGUAACAACUCUCUAGAACAAGCCAGACCAAAUUACUGAUCCCAGUAGAGUCAACUAUUCGUUGGGAGAGACACACUGUUGUUCAGAUUCUCCAAACCAAGUGUUCUUUGGGAGAGUACUGAGAAGUUUCAAAUCCCAAAUUAGAAGGGUAACAUAGUUAGUUUCUUAAAAGCCCAGUUAAAAUGACAACCAAAAAAUAUCAGUAUAAAAUGUAGUAAUAUAAGCAGUAUUAGGUAUAUAUAUAAAUUUUGAAGAAAGUCUGCCCUGGAGAUAUAAUCUUACCUCACUGGCUCUCAGUUUCUGGCCUGGGAAAUAGUGGCAAUGGUGAGAAAUGUAGCUAUAUUGGAAUGUGAUUUUUUAAAUUAAAGAUAAUAGUAUAAUGAAGUUAUUCACAUAUUUAUGUUCAAUAAGUGUUAGCUAUUAUAGUGUUCAAAUAUAUUAGAAUAUAAUUCCAAUUUUAUAUUUCCGUCAUUGUUCACAUUCAUGCAAGUAAGUUGUUGAUUUUCAAAUAUUUCUGUCAUAUAUUUAUCUAGGAAUUUAUAUUCAUCUGUUAACUAUAGUGGCUUGUUCUUGCUCCAGUACGAAUACUUCAAGCUAAGACAUUCCAUUGAAGGAGUGGAUGAUGCACAUAAAAUGAACACAGAAUCUGAGGAGCUGUCCUCAUGGGUCAGCGUUGAGUUCUAUUUUGUUUAACUAUAUCAUUAGUGAACUGAGAAAAGGAAGUAAGUAGCAUGAGAAACAUAUCUGAAGAUGAUAAAUGAAGAUGAACUUCAAAUUCCCAGGAGAGGAGAAUAUAAAUAGAUUCUCAGAAAGUUCUGAAAUUGGUAGCAAAGAAAGAAAUGUAGACCUAAAUAACAAUCUUCCAUAUAAGCACAUGAGCAUUUUAAUAAUGUGAGACCCAGAAAGAGGAAAGAGCUAAGCUGAUAGAUAGUACAAAUAGUUCAACUUGCCAAUGGCACAGAAGCCCAAAAGAACAUAGUAUGCGUUCUCUAAUAUUAAAUGCAAUCUACCUUUCUCAUUUCUUAAAUGUAUCAAUAUUUCCCUUGUAGCUCAGUCGGUAAAGAAUCUGCCUACAGUUCAAGAACUCAGGUUCAAUUCCUGAUUGGGAAAUUUCCCUGGAGAAGAAAAUGGCAACCCCCUCCAGUACUCUUGCCUGGAGAAUUCCAUGAACAGAGAAGCCUAGCAGGCUAUAGUCCAUGGAGUUGCAAAAGAGUCGGACGCGAAUGAGCGACUAGCGCACAAAUGUAAUUAUGAAAUUGAGGAGAUUACAGUCUAGCAUAGUGCUGAGAAGGUCUUAGGUUUGAGACACAGCACUGGUAUGAGUUGUGUGGCCUUCUGCUUCUGUAAAAUAAAGCGAAUUAUAUUACAUACUUCGUAGGGUUGUUUUGAUGGUAAAAUGAGUGUAGCAUGAGAUUGUGAAUUUCAUGAGCUCAGUAGUGGUGGCGGUUUGCUCACAGUUGUGUCUCCAUCAUCUGUUGUGAUGCCUGACAUGUGAUGGGCAAUGAACACAAGUAUUUUGAGAUAUAAUAUUGAAUCACAGUGUUGUUUUGAAGGUUAGGUAAUAUAUAUGAGGAAAUAUCUUGAGCUUUUAUUUAUUUACUUUAUUACUUAACUGCCUCCUUUCCUAGGAUGCCGGCUCCAUGCGAGCAAGAAAAUUGCUUUCUUAUUCCUUGCUAUAUUCCCAGUGUCUAGAACUUUGGCAUUCAAAUGUGGUUAUCCAGCCAGUGCAUUGAUCACCUGGGAGUUUGUUGAAAUGGUAGAAUUAUGGAUCUAGGUCCAAACCUGCUGAAUUAGAAUCUGCAUUUACUAUCCACUGAUAAUUCUUAAACACAUUAAAUUCAAGAAGCACUGGUUUAUCCUGUCCCUAGUAUUUUCUCUAUAGACUGUUAUUGGAUAAAUGACUGCAAAUUAUAUAUUAGAUUUAGCAGAUUUAGCAUGUAUAAAAUUUAUAUUUAGCAGAUUUAAAAUUCUUACUACAUGUACACAUCAUGUUCUUAAUAGCUUCAUGAGGUAUAAUUUACAUACCAUAAAACUCACCCAUUUAAAAUAUAAAUCCAAUGACUUUUAGCAAAUUUACAGAGUAGUGCAACCAGUCCUACAAUCUAAUUUCAGGAAAUUUCCAUGAUUCUAAAAAAAAGUUCCCAUCUGCAGUCGUUCCCCAUUUCCAACCUCAAUCCCAAAACCAACUACUCUAAUAAUAUUGUUUUAAUAUCCACCCACCCAUUUUCUAUUUUAGAUAGAGAAUAACUGAAGGGAGAACAAAUAAAUCUCUUCCAUUCAUACUUCAGUAAAUAAGAAUGAUUCUUGAAUGAGUUUCACUAAAUAAGAAUGAUUCUUGAAUGAGUUUCACUGUGAUUUAACUUGCCAUUAACCACAUCUAAAUGGAAUUGAUAAACAACUAAGAAUUCAAAUGUGGUUCAAGACAGAUGUUUACCACUUUCAGGGAACAAAACAUUU